UACGAAGGGGGCUAGCGUUGUUCGGAAUCACUGGGCGUAAAGGGCGCGUAGGCGGCUUUGUAAGUCGGGGGUGAAAUCCUGGAGCUCAACUCCAGAACUGCCUUCGAUACUGGAGAGCUUGAGUUCGGGAGAGGUGAGUGGAACUGCGAGUGUAGAGGUGAAAUUCGUAGAUAUUCGCAAGAACACCAGUGGCGAAGGCGGCUCACUGGCCCGAUACUGACGCUGAGGUGCGAAAGCGUGGGGAGCAAACAGG
rnacentral:rRNA from 1 species